rnacentral:rRNA from 1 species
AUGGUUUGUAGAGACAGUGAUGAUGUGGUAUCGGAGGCAGGCCGGAUGUCAUGUUCUGUUGGCGAGGGCAAUGCGCCAUCAGGUGGAAGUAGUGGCAGUGAUGAUGUGGUGGUGGAGGGAGGCCCUGUCUCAGGUUCUGCUGGUGAGGGCAAUUUUUCAUCAGGUGGAAGCACCGGCAGCCAUGAUGUGGUAAUGGAGGGAGGUCCCGUGUCAGUUUCCGUUAGUGAAGGCGAUGCGCCAUCAGGCGGAGGCACUGGCAGUGAUGUCAUUUACAUUUGCCCCGCCUCCCCUAGCUGGAGCUUUCAGAACGCCAUUGACUUGUCAGUGGAGGAUCCCUUCUGUGUGUUGAGGCGUGCCAGGGCCUGGAGGGCUUCUCGAGCUGAGGCAUGA